AUACGUAAGCCGGAAUAACCGGGUCAAAAAAUCCGCUGGUUUAAUUAGUUUCCUCCCUCUUUCUCACUGCUACUGUCUAAGCCGUCACUUUCUCUCUCUCUCUCUCUCUCUCUCUCUCUCUCCCCGCCUCCCUCCUCUGAGCUUACUCAGAUCCAGUAUUCUAAACUGUUUUGAUUUACAUGAGGACAAGCACACUGCCUUAACCCACUGAUCUAACCUAGGUAUGCCGGUUCCUUACCAACCAUCUAUGCCAAGAUUAAAAUUCUAAAUGAUCAACAACUUCACUUUCUAUAUAAUGAACCGCAUGCAUAAAAUGGGAAGAUAUGCAGGUGCACAAUAAAUACAUACAUAAAGCUUAGAAAUUUAAAGGUUUGAUGCUUGAAAUUAAUCAAGGAUUGGGAUAUCUUACUCCUAGGAAGGGAAGAAUAUGAUAUUUGGCGCACAGCCAACUCUAUCAUUUACUGCGCUUCCGAGUGAGUAAAGCAAAACAUCAGGCUCCUAGGAGUAUGAUUGUAGUUCCAUUAUCCUAACUACCUUAUCUUGGCUGCUGGGUCUAGUCUUUUAUAACGCCCUUGGUUUUGUAGACAACUUCAGAAAUGCUAUUUUCUUUUUCGAGCUCAAAAUGUACAUUUAUUUGUGGUAGGAAACUGUUGAAGAUGGGACAUUUGUGACUCAAUCAUACAUUAAGAAUUUGUAUUCUAAUUAUUUCAAUAUUAAAAUUUUAAUUUAAGUUUCUACUUUUUAGUUUUGAUUUUGACAAACAUGGUAACCACUCAGAUAUGAAAUUUUAGUUCUAAUUGUGAAUUUGAAGUCAUAAUGAAA